AUGAACGCUGGCGGCGUGCCUAAUACCUGCAAGUCGAGCGAACGGACGAGAAGCUUGCUUUUCUGAUGUUAGCGGCGGACGGGUGAGUAACACGUGGAUAACCUACCUAUAAGACUGGGAUAACUUCGGGAAACCGGAGCUAAUACCGGAUAAUAUUUUGAACCGCAUGGUUCAAAAGUGAAAGACGGUCUUGCUGUCACUUAUAGAUGGAUCCGCGCUGCAUUAGCUAGUUGGUAAGGUAACGGCUUACCAAGGCAACGAUGCAUAGCCGACCUGAGAGGGUGAUCGGCCACACUGGAACUGAGACACGGUCCAGACUCCUACGGGAGGCAGCAGUAGGGAAUCUUCCGCAAUGGGCGAAAGCCUGACGGAGCAACGCCGCGUGAGUGAUGAAGGUCUUCGGAUCGUAAAACUCUGUUAUUAGGGAAGAACACAUGUGUAAGUAACUGUGCACAUCUUGACGGUACCUAAUCAGAAAGCCACGGCUAACUACGUG
rnacentral:rRNA from 1 species